rnacentral:rRNA from 1 species
GACGAACGCUGGCGGCGUGCCUAAUACAUACAAGUCGAGCGAACCAAUAAGAAGCUUGCUUUUUGUUGGUUAGCGGCGGACGGGUGAGUAACACGUGGGUAACCUGCCUGUAAGACCGGGAUAACUCCGGGAAACCGGUGCUAAUACCGGAUAGAUUAUCUUUCCGCAUGGAGAGAUAAGGAAAGAUGGCUAUUGCCAUCACUUACAGAUGGGCCCGCGGCGCAUUAGCUAGUUGGUGAGGUAACGGCUCACCAAGGCGACGAUGCGUAGCCGACCUGAGAGGGUGAUCGGCCACACUGGGACUGAGACACGGCCCAGACUCCUACGGGAGGCAGCAGUAGGGAAUCUUCCGCAAUGGACGAAAGUCUGACGGAGCAACGCCGCGUGAGCGAAGAAGGUCUUCGGAUCGUAAAGCUCUGUUGUUAGGGAAGAACAAGUAUCGGAGGAAAUGCCGGUACCUUGACGGUACCUGACGAGAAAGCCACGGCUAACUACGUG